AUGCCAUGGUGUGGACAUUUUCUCAAAAGCUCUUUAAAUCUUUCCCACGCAUCACUAGUGGACUCGUCUUCAAGCUACUGGAAAGACAUAAUUUCGCUUCUGAACUU